CAUAAUGGUGGUAGGGAUCCGAACGGUGACCGACCUCGGGAGCAUUACAGGUGUUGCAUGGCUGUCGUCAGCUCGUGUCGUGAGAUGUUCGGUUAAGUCCGCUAACGAGCGCAACCCUCGCUGUGUGUUAUAUGUGUCACACGGGACUGCCGGUCUUAAGCCGGAGGAAGGUGGGGAUGAUGUCAAGUCAGCAUGGCCUUUAUAUCCUGGGCUACACACACGCUACAAUGGCCAACACAAUAGGUUGCUAAGCCGCGAGGUGGCGCCAAUCCAUAAAGCUGGUCUCAGUUCGGAUUGCAGGCUGCAACUCGCCUGCAUGAAGUCGGAGUUGCUAGUAACCGCGCGUCAGCUAUAGUGCGGUGAAUACGUUCCCGGGCCUU
rnacentral:rRNA from 1 species